rnacentral:rRNA from 1 species
CCUACGGGAGGCAGCAGUGAGGAAUAUUGGUCAAUGGACGCAAGUCUGAACCAGCCAUGCCGCGUGCAGGAAGACUGCUCUAUGAGUUGUAAACUGCUUUUGUACGAGAGUAAACGCAGAUACGCGUAUCUGUCUGAAAGUAUCGUACGAAUAAGGAUCGGCUAACUCCGUGCCAGCAGCCGCGGUAAUACGGAGGAUUCAAGCGUUAUCCGGAUUUAUUGGGUUUAAAGGGUGCGUAGGCGGUCGGAUAAGUUAGAGGUGAAAGCCCGAGGCUCAACUUCGGAAUUGCCUGUGAUACUGUUCGGCUAGAGAGUAGUUGAGGUAGGCGGAAUGUAUGGUGUAGCGGUGAAAUGCUUAGAGAUCAUACAGAACACCGAUUGCGAAGGCAGCUUACCAAGCUACUUCUGACGUUGAGGCACGAAAGCGUGGGGAGCAAACAGGAUUAGAUACACUGGUAGUC